rnacentral:misc_RNA from 1 species
CAGAGUUGCAAAACUCCCCAAACCAUUGUGAACCUUACCGCUAAACAGUUGCUUCGGCGGGUGGCUGGCCCUUCCCCCGCACCAGGGGGGGGACGGCGCCCGGCCGCCGAGCCCGCCGGAGGAAACCAAACCAUUGCUUCCAGUAUCGGCCUCUCUGAGUUACCGUACUUUUAAUAAGUCA